rnacentral:rRNA from 1 species
AUGGCUCAGGAUGAACGCUAGCUACAGGCUUAACACAUGCAAGUCGAGGGGCAGCGAGGGGUUAGCUUGCUAAUCCUGUCGGCGACCGGCGCACGGGUGAGUAACGCGUAUCCAACCUGGCCCAUAGUAGGGAAUAGCCCGGCGAAAGUCGGAUUAAUGCCCUAUGUUAUCCGAUGAGGACAUCUGAAUUGGAUUAAAGAUUCAUCGCUAUGGGAUGGGGAUGCGUCUGAUUAGCUUGCCGGCGGGGUAACGGCCCACCGGGGCAACGAUCAGUAGGGUUCUGAGAGGAAGGUCCCCCACAUUGGAACUGAGACACGGUCCAAACUCCUACGGGAGGCAGCAGUGAGGAAUAUUGGUCAAUGGCCGCAAGGCUGAACCAGCCAAGUCGCCGUGCAGGAUGACGGCCCUAUGGGUUGUAAACUGCUUUUGCGGGGGAAUAAAGUGAGGGACGCGUCCCUUUUUGUAUGUACCCUGAGAAUAAGGACCGGCUAAUUCCGUGCCAGCAGCCGC